rnacentral:rRNA from 1 species
UCGGGAAACCGGAGCUAAUACCGGAUAAUAUAUUGAACCGCAUGGUUCAAUAGUGAAAGACGGUUUUGCUGUCACUUAUAGAUGGAUCCGCGCCGCAUUAGCUAGUUGGUAAGGCAACGGCUUACCAAGGCAACGAUGCGUAGCCGACCUGAGAGGGUGAUCGGCCACACUGGAACUGAGACACGGUCCAGACUCCUACGGGAGGCAGCAGUAGGGAAUCUUCCGCAAUGGGCGAAAGCCUGACGGAGCAACGCCGCGUGAGUGAUGAAGGUCUUCGGAUCGUAAAACUCUGUUAUUAGGGAAGAACAAAUGUGUAAGUAACUAUGCACGUCUUGACGGUACCUAAUCAGAAAGCCACGGCUAACUACGUGCCAGCAGCCGCGGUAAUACGUAGGUGGCAAGCGUUAUCCGGAAUUAUUGGGCGUAAAGCGCGCGUAGGCGGUUUUUUAAGUCUGAUGUGAAAGCCCACGGCUCAACCGUGGAGGGUCAUUGGAAACUGGAAAACUUGAGUGCAGAAGAGGAAAGUGGAAUUCCAUGUGUAGCGGUGAAAUGCGCAGAGAUAUGGAGGAACACCAGUGGCGAAGGCGACUUUCUGGUCUGUAACUGACGCUGAUGUGCGAAAGCGUGGGGAUCAAACAGGGAUUACAUACCCUGGGUAGUCCACGCCGUAAACGAUGAGUGCUAAGUGUUAGGGGGUUUCCGCCCCUUUAGUGCUGCAGCUAACGCAUUUAA